GCUUUUGCGUCAACAGCCUUAAAUCAUUGAUUUAAGGCUGAUGGCCGGUGGCUUUUGCCACCGGCCU
rnacentral:sRNA from 1 species